ensembl:lncRNA
AGUGAGAUGAUGAGGUUCUUACCGCCCCAGUCUGAUGUAAACUGACUGAUUGGUUUCUCUGAUCUAAAUGUUCACUACAAUUGACUGAAAAUGCCCUAUAAAGAAACCAACUGAUGGUGGCUUGCUUUCUCUCUAGGGUCCAUACAGACCUUGUGUGCAUACAGGUUUGAAAUCCUUGGCAGCAGCCCUGGCCAGACACGGCUGGAAAAAAGGGUCCAUACAGAAAAACGAUCUGAAUGUGUGCUGAGGAGUGGGGAGGUCCAUGCCACAUUUCAGGACCUGAUUUCAACGAGGUUGCCUGCAUCCUCAGUGAUUUGGGUCCCAGCUAGCUACCCCCAAGCUCUACUUCCCUGUUUGCUUCAAGACUUGUUUUGCCAUCACUUUUUUCCUUGUACUACAGUGUUUAUUUGAAUAAAUGUGUGGCUUUCACAUUCGCUUGGAGUUGUGUCUGAAGUCUUAAUGCGAUGGAUAUUGAGUGUUACAACUUCUCUAUAAGCCAGUAGGGCGAAAACUGUUUUAAGAGUAGUUUAUGGUUCUGGAAAUGUCCAGAAUAGCAGAAGGAUUUCAGAGUUCUGCUUAACAGACCUUUCACAGUCUGAACUAGCACUUGCAGCUUAGUUAUGUAAUUGCAUACAGGAACGGCUAAUGAGCCCUUCGUCAGCAGACGUGGGUGCAUUAGGGCAGUGGUUCCCAAACUUUUUACAGUCCCGUACCCCUUCAGACAUUUAAUCUCCAGCUGCGUACCCCCCCCGUUGAAAAAAAAAUUCUGUUCACCCAGAGGUAGAUUGAUGGCUUAAAAUGAGUGAAUAAUAUGUGCCACAAGUGACCCAAACCUUCUAAGGUUGUUGUUUGCCAGCCAUCAACAGAACAGAAGACUAAAAAAACAUUAUUUGCAGGCGAUUGGGAAGAGGAGGGAGUUCAUUUGACAGGCUACGGAGGUCUGUGUUGAAUUGUGGGCGUGGCCAAAGCGGAGUUCAGCACAGACGUGACAUUUUCUCAGUGGUUUAGUUUUUUAAUUAAUGCUUGUUCAUCGUUGCGAUCGUUGUUGUGUUUAUAAGAAAGAAAUACAGCCUCGCAGGACAAAAUACAGGGGAAUU